rnacentral:rRNA from 1 species
UGGGGAAUAUUGCACAAUGGGCGAAAGCCUGAUGCAGCAACGCCGCGUGAGUGAUGAAGGCCUUCGGGUUGUAAAGCUCUGUCUUUUGGGACGAUAAUGACGGUACCAAAGGAGGAAGCCACGGCUAACUACGUGCCAGCAGCCGCGGUAAUACGUAGGUGGCAAGCGUUGUCCGGAUUUACUGGGCGUAAAGGAUGCGUAGGCGGAUUUUUAAGUGAGAUGUGAAAACCCUAAGCUUAACUUGGGGACUGCAUUUCAUACUGGAAAUCUAGAGUGCGGGAGAGGAGAAUGGAAUUCCUAGUGUAGCGGUGAAAUGCGUAGAGAUUAGGAAGAACACCAGUGGCGAAGGCGAUUCUCUGGACCGUAACUGACGCUGAGGCAUGAAAGCGUGGGUAGCAAACAGGAUUAGAUACCCUGGUAGUCCACGCCGUAAACGAUGAGUACUAGGUGUAGGAGGUAUCGACCCCUUCUGUGCCGCAGUUAACACAAUAAGUACUCCGCCUGGGAAGUACGAUCGCAAGAUUAAAAACUUAAAGGAAUUGACGGGGGUCAUAGCUGUUUCCU